rnacentral:lncRNA from 1 species
AAUAACCUAACUACCCCUCAAUUCUUUUUAUUAAAUUUUUUCUUUUAGUUCCAUUUUAAAUCUAAUCACUAAAAAUUUGAUUGUUAUGUUACAUUAAUUUUCAACCUCUUUUUUCUUUGCGUAUGCUGAUCAAGUGCUUAAAUAUCAUUUUCUUCCUUAUAUUGGUUGAUAGCGUCGAAUGAGAACCACAUUUAUGCUAUUGUAUAAUUGUUUAAUUUACAAAUGGAUUAAUUUAUAUAGAAAAGAUUAUUGUCAAGAAAAUAUAUAAUUUGAAAAUCUAAAACUAUAUUAUCAACGAUCCGUGAUGUUCUUAUAUAAUGUGCUUUUGCAUUUUUAAAAAUUAUUUCUAUAUAAUAUGAUAAUUAUUUGUUGUUUUGAAUUUUUCUUGAUUAAAUAGACUCAAUUUUUUUUGGAAAAAAAUAAAUGUUCAACAACCGAGGCACGGCACGUUGCUAAGGAUAGGCUCAUGCUAUAUCUCCCUGGCAAAGGCAUUUCCCCAUUUCUUCCGCCCUUGGCCUUAACCGCUUAAGCAAAGUAAAAAUUAUUAUUCAUAUUUUAACUUUUCUAUAAGAUCAUCCCAAAAAAAUUUGAUGGUAUAGUAGUAAAAAAAUUUUUGUAGAAUUUUAAAUCUAAACACAAUACAUGAUAUAUUUAUGUUUUAAUAUAAUACACCAAACACUUGAUAAAAAAUAAUCCCUCUAUUACUAAUCCCUGCAUUGCUAAUCCCUGUAUUGUUAAUCCAUGAAUAAUAUCUCUUUGUACCAAACGACCCCUAAGUGUGUUGAAUGUGGAAGAUGGUCCUACCACAGGUGUCUGGUACCUGUAGAAGAAUUUCUCUUUGGGUAAACAUUGGUGUAUAGAAUCAACGCAAAGACAAAUCAAUCUGACAGUUCAUUUUCUCUCCUAGACACAGUUCUCGAGGAAAAGGCCUAAUCCAACCUAGGUUUCCUCCCUCCAUCUCCAGUGAUCGUUUCGAUCACCAGACCCCUUCUUUUGUUUUUCCCUUUUCUUCUUCAUUUUCUUUCCCUCUUCUUUUGCUCUCUCUUGCUAUCAUGGAGGACACCAUCUUCUUUGCGGUCGGCUUCAAAUCUUUUGAUGUGUCGUGGCUAAAUGGAACUUCAGGAGAUUGGUAUGAGUGGUCUGAAAGGAGAAAAAGUACCAUCACUACAACUUCUUUUAACAAGAAGUCAAUCGAUUGGAUUGUUCAAACUCCGCGAGAGGCAUCCAUGACGUCCGAAAAUAUUGUUAAAAGAUGGAAGAGAAAAGAUACAUUAUCAGAAAUCUAUUAUGCUCGAGAUUUCAACAAGUUUGGUAUAUAUAUUUUGAGAGGUAAAAAAGAGCAGUACUUAUUAUCCCUAAAAUAACCUUCAACUAUGGAUGGAAAUACAUAACUGACAAAAUGGGGAGGUUUAUCAACAAAUAUCAUAUCGUAAAUAACAUGAGAAAUACAGGUUAAUGGACGACAAUAUUGCUUACGCAGAGGCAUUGAAGAGCAUUAAAUGGGUAACAAGACAGAAUGUGAAACAGAGGUUAAUGGUGCAUUUAUGAAGGAGAGGGGCACAAUAUGCAUUAAUGACACCUCCUUAGCACAUAAUGAGAUUCCAAACAGAAGUUUAGUGGGGAAAUUUGACAACAGAGCUAAUGAGCCCAUUACUCUUUGCAGAAGUCCGAAGAUGGGAAAAUGACACCUGGAAAUAAUAUCACGGUUUGAACAUCUAUGAGAUGGGUAACGGGAGCUUUCUCUUUGAAUUUGUGUUCCAGGCUAUGGCAGAGCAGGCUAUCGCCGGCAACUGAUUAUGGAAAAAAUCCAAAGUCAGUCUACAGUGGUGAAUCCGGCUAUAGGGGUUGUAGAGAAGGAGUACAAACCCAAUGCAACUUGGAUUAGAAUUGUAGGGCUUCCACUACACCUCUGGUCCCAACAUGUAUUCAAAGCCAUUUGAGACUCCUGUGGAGGUUGGGCUGAGACCGAGGAAGAAACGCAAUUUCUAAAUCACUUUAAAUGGGCGAGAAUAAAGGUCCAUGGAGAUGGAAGAGAUAUUCUGAAAGAAAUCACGGUGGAGAAUGAUGGAAUCCUAUUCACUAUGCAGAUUUUGGAAGAAAUUCUAAUGAGAGUGAUAACCAGUGAUACACAGUGCCCCAACUCUUUUUCCAAAGGUCGCCGAUGACAAACACGAUGGAUAAAAGAGUAGGAGUAUGCAGAGAAAGUGGUCAAAGGUCAGAAGAGCCACAUGACUUUGCAGUCACACGUGGAAAGGAGAGGACAAUAAAUUCAAAUUGUGGGACAUGGGCGGACCGGCUAGAAGAAACUCGCCAAGGCCCAAGUUACUCAAAUAUUUCUGAAAAGGGAAAAGGCCAAUUAUACGACUCUGACUCUUUAGCUUUGCUUCUAAAGCCACGUGAGGGUCAUGUGGAAUCCUCAAUAGCGAUGGAAAAGGGACUUUGGAUUAAAAAGGACAAAUAAGUUAUCCAAUUAAGCAAGCAUUCUUCAAAUUUUUUAAAUUAGGUGGGAGGGACAAAAUCUUUUUGAGUUUUUUUUUUAAAAAUUUUUCCGUUCGAACAACUUGUUCCAGUUGUAGAACAACUUUGGUAGUUGUUUGAUAACUUUGCGAAGUUGUUCAACAACUAGAUACAGUUGUCCUAUAACUGCACCUAGUUGUUGAACAACUAGGCGUAGUUGUUCGACAACUGAGAGAAGUUGUUCAACAACUAUGCGAAGUUGUUCAGAUAACUAACGUAGUUGUCCCACAACUAUCCCAGUUGUUCAAGGGACUUAGUUUUUUUUAGGGACAAGUUGUGGACCCACUUGUCCCUUUUUUUAAUUGGAAACUUGUCGGGCCCUUGUGGCUUAUUUUUCUCGAUGAAGAAGCCAUGUGGGAAUAAGAAAAGAAAACUCAGAGGUUUGCUGGAGAUUAAAAUGUUAGCAUCGCGAUUCCUAGAGGCCUUCAAAGAUUGGGAAUCUAAUGCUAGAGAAGAAACGAACACCACAGACAUAAAAAAGAAUACGAUCGAGAAGAUAUCAACAAUCCAAACAACGGAUAAACUCCAGAACAAAGAAAAUUCAGAAAACUUAGUCAGUCAGAAGUGAGAGACACAUGCACUGAGGUUCCAGGGUAGGGUACGUUACAGAGGAAAACAACUUACAAUUACAACGGAUUCAUGAUGUAGAACCCGUCUCCACGAUAUCUAUAGGGAACAAAGAGAAUCAAAAAUAAAAGCCUCAAAUUGGGUAAAUUCCUAUAUACUGGAGCUGACUAAUACAUACGAGGUGGCUUUUGUGGGAUUCGAGAAGGAAACUUUAGCCCUUCUUAUGAGGUUAGACAAGAUGAAGACUAAAUUGGAGCGAAAGGUACAAAGGAAAGUCACAAUAACUUCUACAAGCAGGGAAUCGGGAAAAUCGAACUGAAGAAUUUACAAUCCAGCCUCAGUGAAGAAGUAGAUGGUGACAAAAACAGAAGGAGAACUCUUAGUCAGACUUUUAAAUGAAAAUCAAUCUUAUCAGAUAGAAUGUAAGAGGACUAAACAAUAUUUCCAGUAGGAAUUUGAUUAAGAGCUUGUUACAGAAGAGGGGAGCUGAUGUGUAUAGUUUUCAAGAAACAAAAUUAAGCCGGAGGAGGAGGUUGCAAAACUGCUCUGGCCAAGCAGGUGGAUGAAGUGAAAUUUUAUUGAAGCCGAAGGUAGUGGUGGAGAGAUUCUGGUGAUGUGGAAAACAAGAUUCUGGGAUGGUGUAUUGGUUGAAACUGGCCAAUACUCUUAUCACUCUUAAAUUUGAAUCUUUACAAAGUUCUUUUACAUGGUUUCUCACUGGGGUGUAUGCUCCUCACACGAGAAAGGAGAAAUUAGAGUGUUGGGAGGAAUUAGCUGCAAUUAAGGAGCUGUGCGGGAGACCGUGGAUUACUUACGGGGAUUUCAAUACAGUAGAUUCAUGGCAGAAAGAAGAGGUUGCAGUAGAAUCACAAAUGUUAUGUGAGAUUUCUCUAGAUGGAUUGAAGAUAUGGAAUUUCAUGAAGGAGGGAACUUUUCGUGGUUUAGGAGAGUCAACCAUAGAAGCGCUGCGAGGUUGGACAGAUUUUUGUACUCCAUGGAGUGUUCAGAAACAUCUGACAGAGAUUACUUCCUAGGGUGACCUCCGACCACAGUCCCAUUAUGCUCAAGUGUGGUAACUAGGAGAAGAAUAGAUCCAACUUUAAAUUCAAAAAUCGGUGGCUCAAGGUGAGGUUUAGCAAUCUGGUAAGGGUUUGGUGGAAUAAAUUUGUGGUAGAGGGAUGUCCAGACUACAAGCUUAGCUUCAAAUUAAAAAUGGAAAAGGGCCCAAAAUGCCCUUCAACUAUGUGAAAUGAUGCAAAAAUGCCUCCCGUCUAUCUAUUGGGCCUAAAAUGCCCUUCCUGUCUAUCUAUUGAGUCUAAAAUGCCCUUUCCGUCUACCUAUUGAGGCUAUUUUGCCUUUUUAUUUAAGAAAAAAAUUACAUAAUACCACAACUUAUCUUUAUUAAACUACAUAAAAUCCCUAUUCUUUUUAUUAGUAUUAACCAAAUAAAUAGUGCAUAAUAUUUAUUUUUCGUCGUUCUAAAUUGAUAUGAUAAAUAAAAGAAAAAACAACAUAAAUAGUCAUUUUUUAAAAAUUAUUACAUAUACAUAGCUGUAUUAGUUGAUUGUCAGAUAUAACAUAUAAAAUAUUUAUACUUUAACUUGACACAAAGUUUAAGAAAAUAAAGAACAGUUUUGAAUCUUAUGGCCUUAAAUUAAUGUUGUGUCAAAUGUACCCAAAUGCCCUUUAAUCUUGUGGUUCUAAACUAUUGCAAAAAAGGAAAGAGCUCUCUCUUUUUGAAACGAACUAUAAAGGAAAGUAGGUCAUUCUUCUUGAAACGGAGGGGGUAUUAAAUUCCCAUAUUUGUUAUUUAAUGUCUAUUUUUAUGGAAGCCCCUAGUCAUUCAUUUUUUAUCUACUAUAUCAAAAUUUUAUGUUUUUCAUUUUUAUUGUUUGUUUUCCCGAUGCAUCCAUAAAAAUAUAUGGUAUAUUUUUAUCAUAAAAAUUCAUAGUAUAUUUAUAUAUUGUACAAAUUAUAUUUAUAUCAUAAUAAUACACGGUAUAUUUAUACCAUAAACAUACAUGGUAUAUUUUAGAUUAUAUCAUGUAAUACUGAAAAUAUAUUUAUAUUUAAUAAAUAAUUUUUUAACAAGAAAACUACUUCUGACAUAAUGUGAUAUAUCAUAAAUAUUUAUCCCAUAAAUUAUAUUAAAUAUAUAAUAAUAAUCUGACUUUGACAUAAAUUAUAUUUAUACAAUAAAAAUACAUGGUAUAUCUGUACUUCCAACAUAAUAAUUUUUAUUCCAUAAAUAUUUAUCUAUAAAAAAUUAUGGUUAACCCAUUACACUAGAAUUAAAAAUACAUGAUAAUCAAAUAAUAUUAGAUGAUUAACAUACAUGAAAACAAAAAGAAACACAAAGGAGCAAAUAAUGGAAUACUUAGUUUAUUUAAAAAUAUUUGAAUUUUGAAUACAAAACAGAGAAAGAUUUCGAAGCAGGGAUUAUCUUUUUCACUUUAAUUUUGAAGAUUGAAAUAUAUUUUUUAAAUUAAGCUGAAUUGUUAAUUAGUUAUAACAUUAAAUUAGGAAUUAUAAUUAUAUUUUUUAAUUCUUUUAAAUGGCUACAUAUAUAUGAAAAAAAAACUUUUAUUUUUUUAAUAUUAAAAAAAUACUAUUAUUUAUGUAGUUAAGUCUUUAGGAUGAUCUUUUCAUGUAAUUUGCCUAAAUAAAAGGGUAAAAUAGGCUCAAUAAGUAGAUAGAAAGGACAUUUUAGGCCCACGGAGGGCGUUUUUGCAUCAUUUUAUAUAGUCGAAGGAUAUUUUAGGCACUUUUCCGAAUUAAAAAUGUUGAAGAAAAAACUUUAAAGUAUAGAGCAAAACUACUUUUGGGAGUUGAUUAAUAGAAAGAAUAGUUUGUUGAAUGAAUUGGCCAAGCUUGACUUAAUCCAAGAUAGCAGAAUCCUGCCAAAAGAUGAGAUGAUAAUCAGAGCUACAAUUUUAGUGAAUUGGAGGACCUUGCUAAAAAAAAGUCAACAUGGAGGAAGAAAUCCAGAGUGCUUUGGUUGAAAAAAGGGGAUAACAACACAAGAUUCUUCCAAAGAAUGGACGGCCUCAACGCAUAGAGGAUAUAAUUCAAUCGAUAGAUUGGUGGUGUAAGGAGAGGAAAUCAAAGAUCCCGAAGGGAUAAAAAUAGCUACAAUAGAGUUCUGUAGCAAGCUUUAGUCAGAAUCAGAAGAUUGGAGACCAUCUUUUGAGUUGCUGGACUGUGCUAAAGUCACUCAAGAGGAGCAGGAAUAGCUACAGAGAGCUUUUUUUUUUUGAACUAAAGGUGCUUCAAAUUGUCAAGCAAUGCGGCGGUGACAAAGCACCUGGACCAGAUGGUUUUACUAUGCAAUUCUCCAAGGGAUGUUAAAGUAUAUUGAAGAAUGAUUUGAUGCUUACUAUCCAGAACUUUCAUCAAAAUGAAAUAUUUGAAAAAUCAUUCAAUGUUACCGUUAUAGCAUUAAUUCUGAAGAAGCCAAGAACGGAAGAACUCAAAGAUUUUGGGGCAACCAACUUGAUAGGAGGAGUGUACAAGAUCAUCUCUAAACUUCUUAUUGGGUGGAUAAAGACUGUUAUGGAUAAACUGGUUGAUAAACAUCAGAUGACCUUCCUAAAAGGCAGGCAAAUUCUAGAUGCAUCUCUGUUGGCCAAUGAGUUGGUGGAUUCUAGAGUAAGACAGAAGACCCCGGAAUUCUAUGCAAAUUGGAUAUCGAGAAGGCUUAUGACCAUGUCAACUGGUCCUUUCUUCUCAAAGUACUAACUAACAUGGGAUUUGACACUAAGUGGAUAAAGUGGAUAAGAUUUUGCAUAUCCAAUUUAAAAUUUUUUCUCAUCAUCAAUGGUAAUACAGAAGGAUUUUUCCAAUCAUAGAGGGGCUUGAUACAAGGUGAUCCUUUAUCACCUUUUUUUUCUUCUUCUAGUCAUGGAGGGUUUAAAUCUUGUGAUCAGAAAAGCUAAAGUAAAUGGAUGGAUUAGGGGCUUUUGUGCCCAAACAAACGGGGGAAGUUCCACGAAAAUCACACACCUACUGUAUGUUGACGACUCACUAGUUUUUUGUGAUGCAAAUGUAGCUCAGAUUAGAUAUCUACGAGCCAUUCUAACCAUCUUUGAAGGCAUCUCUGGACUGCAUGUUAACUGCAUAAGAGCUCUAUUUUUUCGGUUAACCAGGUGGACAACUUGCAUCUAUUAGCUGAGAAUCUAGGCUGCCAAACAACCUCUCUGCCUACCAAGUAUUUAGGAAUGCCUUUGGGUGCAAAAAACAAAGAGCUUCAAAUUUGGAUUGAAGUGUUAGAGAGAUAUGACAAGAUGUAGCUAAGUGGAAGAGUCAGUAUCUAUCUUUAAGGGGGCAGGUUGACACUCAUAAAGUCUGUGAUGGAUGCCCUCCCUACUUAUAUGAAGAGUUUGUUCCCAAUACCUAAGAAUAUUGAGAGGAAGAUCAACAGGAUUAAGAUUUUCUUAUGGUACGGAAACAAGGAGAAAAGGGGUUAUAACUUGGUGAAAUGCGACAUCCUGAUGCUUAACAGGAACCAAGGAGCCAAAGGGGCCUGGGUAUUAAAAAUCUUAGCAUUUAGAAUGAUUGUCUAUUGCAGAAAUGGCUCUGGAGAUUCUGUACAGAGAAUAUGCAGCCCUAUAAAGAUUUAUUAUAGAGAAAUAUGAAUUACUAACUCAAUGGACAAUAGAGGAGGUCACGGGUACCUCUGUCUGUAGUGUUUGGAAAUUCAUCAGAAGGUUAUGGACUCAUUUCUUUACCAAUGUCUCUUUCAAAGUGGGAGAUGGAGCAAAAACUAAUUUCUGGAAUGAACAUUGGAUAAGUGAGGAUAAUUUAAGAAAUCUAUUUCCUCAUCUUUAUAUCCUAAGUUCACAAAGAAAUUUUUCAGUGUCACAAGUGUGGUGUCCUCAAGGAUGGAAUCCAGUGUUCAAGAGAGACAUGAAUGAUUGGGAAGUGGCUGAUAUUGCUAGUCUUUUGCAAAUAUUAAAUCUGUAUCCAGGGAUAACUAGUGGAGUGGAUAAACCAGUCUGGCAGUUACAUAGCAAAGAAAAUUUCACUGUUAAGUCAUGCUACUCAUGCUACUGGGGAAGAAACCAUAACCUCUCCCCUACAAGUAAAUGGCCUUGGAAGCAAAUAUGGGAAGUCAAAAAGUCCACUAAAAGUUGUUUGCUUUAGUUGGUUGGUGGUUUUUAGAACUUGUCUUAUCCAUGAAGUGUUACAGGGAAAAGGUUUGGAGAUCUGCUCAAGAUAUUUUUUAUGUGAUCAAGACGUAGAGGUUAAUAGCCAUCUAUACUUACACUGUAGAACAACCGUAAAACCCGUGGAAUAUAUUCUUGUGUAUCUUAGGGGUUUGUUGGGUGAUGCCAAGUUCCACCCUUGAGUUCCUUAACAGCUGGAAAUGAAUUGAUAAGAGAGGAUCUGAUGAAGACCGGUGGAUGAGCAUCCCAACAUGUGUUUGGUGGACUUUAUGGAAAGAGAGGAAUGCAAAGAUGCUUUGAAGGUAGAAGCAACAGUAUGCAAAAGAUAAGAUGUAAUUGCCUGACUUUAUUGUAUUUUUGGUGUAAACAAGAAUUGGGGGAGGAUACAAUAACACUAGUUGAUUUCAUAGGUAACUUGUAAAGUCUUUUAUGUUUUUGCAGUCCCCUCUGAGGAUAUUCCACAUAGUAUGUGGAUUGUAAAGGUCACUCGUCAUUUUUUGGAUGAUGAGCAUUUUGUGAAUAGAAAAGAUACCCUUGAGUAAAAAAAAAAAACAGGUGUCUGGUCCCUAAAUUUUUGUUGUUUGAAUCCGGUGCUUUUACCUCCCCUGAGGUGAUUAAGGUGGAUCAAGUGUUGUAAUCCCUCUAUCCCAUAUCCCAUGUGAUAAAAAUGUUUACCCACUUCAAAAGACCAACUAAGAAAUUCAGUUUACCGUACAAUCUUAGUCAAUUAGUAUGUUGUUUGCUUUAGGUUUCCAUAACUAGGGAAUGGGUCAACAAAUGUUCUUUCACAUUGUGUUGAACGUGGGUUUUGGCAUGGUUGUAUGCAUGGAUAUCGUUGGUGUGAAUAUUGUUUUUUCAAUGAAUACUUACGUUUGUACCGACAUUAUUCUAUGAUGUUACUACUUACUUUGUCUACUAAUAUCCUGAUAAAGAAAAAGAAAAAUAAAUUCCAGUCUCAGUUGUAUGUGGACGAACCUGCCUUAGUGUCAUUAUCGUGGAUUCGUGUCCAUAGUGUUGGGGAGUUUAAUUAGCAAGUUUUAAUCAAUGAAGCGGUGUAUAGAGCCUAUUAAAGAAGUUAGGAACUUUCAAAUGCAUAUGAUGCCUCCAAUAAUUCUUAAAGAGUUGUUUUCUUUUAAUGUGUUAUAUUUUAAUUCUCUUAAAUUUUGUGCUAUGAGCACAAUUACUUUUAUGAUUUACCAGUUUAUUUUAUAGGGUUGUAAUUCAGUGUUUGCUCAGAAUUGGGUAUUCUAGUCGUUUGUCUUGUAGGCUUAUGUAGAUAUAUCUGCUGCAUUGAGAUUUGAAAAAGUUUGAUGAGAUCUUUUUUGUUUGAUGAAAUCUCAUUUUUGGCCUAUUUUUCUGGAAAGUGGUUUGUGAUCACUACAAAUCACAACCCAAAAGAAAGCUGGUUCAUAAUCAGUAUCUUGGCAUAUUCUUACGAGAGAAAAUCAAGAUAUUGAUUGUUAGCCAGCAGUUUUGGCUUUGACUUUUUGUAGCAUUAACUGAAACAUCUGAAUAUAUCUGGUAAUACUUCACCUCAAUAUGUUUAGCAGUAAACAUGUGUAACUUGCCUCAUUGUGUAAUUCUCUCAACUAUCUACUUAUAACCAGACCGGUCAGUUAGGUUAAUUUCACAGUAAAAGGCCAACAACUCACGUAAUUGUAUUCUCUUGAUAAAGUGAGGUGAUGAUACAUGAAAUGGGCAUUAGAUUAAUUGUUUUUAAGUAAACCCAUAACUACUCCAUCAACAUUAGACCAAAGUGUGUCAAAAAUAUGUAUCUAGAAAGUUAAGUGAUUUCGUAGCUCCAUGCAGGCCAAGUUAGCCUAACUAUUUAUAUAUUCUGGUAUUUCUAUUUACACCUAAAGUACCAAUGAAA